UCUCAUCUGCAUCUAGCCUCUUCCAUCACUUCUCUCUGGCUGUUUUGCUUCAUUUUUUUUCUGUAUCAAAACUUAAGUAUUAGGUUUUGCGUCCUCUUCUUCUCUAUCAUAACAACAUUAGCUCCUGAGGAUUUGUUCUGAAUUGAAAACCAACUGAAAACCAAGAUUCAUCUAGAAAACUGAAUCGAAAGGCACUGAAGAAGUAGAAAACUCCACCACCAUCUUCAGAUCCAGCUAAAUCUAAUGGAGUUAAACAAAAGAAUAAGAUAUUAAGAUCAAUUCAUGAUCUAAUCUAUAUGGGUUUCUUCUUUUAUGUUGAAUUUAAUUUAAGUUUUUUAAUGUAUUUUUCAUUGAGUUGUUUUUGUUCUGUGAUUUCUACAGAAGUGGAGCGAAGGAAGGCAAAAGGAGAAGGUUAACAACAUGCUCAUGUUUGAUAAAGCUAGGAUUUAAUCUCUGAUUUUGCUUUGACAUCAAUAUGGAAAAGUCUGCAUUGGCAUUAAUGGGUCAUUUAGAUUGGCGAAAAUCUCAUGCUUUUGAUCAUUUCAUGGGGUCCAUGAUAGCAUCCAAUUUAUCUGCGAUGGUACUACCUGAAAGGACGGAACUACUCAUUUGAUGGAGAUGCCUCUCUUGAUGUGGUCCAGCUGGUCCAUUAGCCUGAUAGAGCAAUUAACCAUUUGACAUCGUCCUUGUCCGAACUAGAGAAGAACACCUCACUCUGUUGUCUUGUUAUCCGAAUAUCAGUUGGCCCCGUUGUGGACAUAGAUGGAGUAGAUGCUGAAAGCCUUCAUUAAGAAGAUGUUAGCAGAAAACCAUGGACUUCCUUGUUUUUGCUUUGGACAUUCGACAGGUUGAAUUAAAAUUUGAUUAUAUAAAUGGUGAUGGAUGCAUCUAUGGACCUACAUACGCGUGAGUUCAACUGGCAAGUCUGCUUGCUUAGGGAUUGAGUAAUUGACCUGAUUUAAUCAAGUUUGUCAGAAGAUGAAGGUAUAGAUGGUGAAGUCUUACUUUACUUUCAACUUAGUGUUGAAAUUUUAUGCUUGUAAUAAUCUUGUAAUAGGAAUAUAGGUUAAGGUUUUCCAACUUAGUGUAAGUUUCUAGACUUGGAACUCGCAGUAUUUUAGAUAGUUGAAAUUGUAAACUGAAUUCACUUUUCAACACAAAAUGAGUUUUAAAGUCGCUAUUAAAUUCA